GGUGAUAUGAACCGUUAUAACCGGCGAUACCCGAAUGGGGAAACCCAGUGUGACUCGUCACACUAUCAUUAACUGAAUCCAUAGGUUAAUGAGGCGAACCGGGGGAACUGAAACAUCUAAGUACCCCGAGGAAAAGAAAUCAACCGAGAUUCCCCCAGUAGCGGCGAGCGAACGGGGAGGAGCCCAGAGCCUGAAUCAGCAUGUGUGUUAGUGGAAGCGUCUGGAAAGGCGCGCGAUACAGGGUGACAGCCCCGUACACAAAAGCGCAUGUGCUGUGAGCUCGAUGAGUAGGGCGGGACACGUGGUAUCCUGUCUGAAUAUGGGGGGACCAUCCUCCAAGGCUAAAUACUCCUGACUGACCGAUAGUGAACCAGUACCGUGAGGGAAAGGCGAAAAGAACCCCGGCGAGGGGAGUGAAAAAGAACCUGAAACCGUGU
rnacentral:rRNA from 1 species